GACUGGUGGAGUCGAAGAAACAGAGCGACGAGGGCUUUCUGAAGGCUUUGGAAUUUCAUUAUCAAUAAUAUCUUGUACCUUCGAUCUAGCAACAUCGGCUCCUUUGGAAGAAGCACUUUCGGCUGUCACAAUGGUAUCUUUGACAGAAGCAGCACCAUUGUCAGCAUCAGUAACAACGGUUUGAACUACACUGGCGUCGGGAAUUUGUGCACUUUCGAAAGUAG